GGGGAUAUAGCUCAGUUGGUAGAGUGCUUGCCUUGCAUGCACAAGGCCCUGGGUUCAAUCCUCAAGCACCACCA
rnacentral:tRNA from 1 species